rnacentral:rRNA from 1 species
GACGAACGCUGGCGGCGUGCUUAACACAUGCAAGUCGAACGGUAAGGCCCUGCUUUUGCUGGUCUCUCGAGAGGCGCACGGGUGUGUAUCACGCGAGUAUCACGCCCUUGACAUUGGGAUAACUUCAGGGAACUGGGUAUAAUAUCGGAUAGAAGCUUCUGCUGCACGGUGUGGGUUGGAAAGAUUCGGCGGUUGGGGAUGGACUCGCGGCUUAUCAGCUUGUUGGUGGGGUAGUGGCUUACCAAGGCUUUGACGGGUAGCCGGACUGCGAGGGUGACAGGCCACAUUGGGACUGGGGUAGGACCCAGACGCCUACGGGAGGCAGCAGUGGAGAAUAUUGCACAAUGGGCGGAAGCCGGAUACAGCAACGCCGCGUGGGGGAUGACGGCCGUCAGGUUGGAAACCGCGUGCGCCUGGGACGAAGCGUGAGUGACGGUAAUGGGUAAAGAAGCACCGGCUAACUACGUG